GUCGUAUAAGCUAACCAGGCAUAGCGUCCGUUUUGUAAUCGGAAGGUGUGGGGUUCGAUUCCUCAAUACGAUA
rfam:[Candida] intermedia strain CBS 141442 genome assembly, organelle: mitochondrion